AUGUGGGAGGAAUGCUUGCCUCAUAUUGAAUUUGCUUAUAAUCGUUCAUUGCAUUCUACAACUAAGAUGUGCCCUUUUGAAGUUGUGUAUGGUUUCCUACCUCGUGCACCUAUUGAUUUGUUGCCUCUUCCAUCUUCGGAGAAGGUUAAUUUUGAUGCUAAACAACGUGCUGAAUUGAUUUUAAAAAUGCAUGAGUUAACUAAGGAAAACAUUGAGCGUAUGAAUGCUAAAUAUAAACUUGCUGGAGAUAAGGGAAGAAAACAUCUUGUGUUUGCACCUGGAGAUCUUGUUUGGUUACAUUUGCGUAAGGAUAGAUUUCCUGAUUUGCGCAAAUCAAAGUUAAUGCCACGUGCUGAUGGUCCCUUUAAGGUGUUAGAGAAAAUAAAUAAUAAUGCAUAUAAACUUGAGCUGCCUGCAGAUUUUGGGGUUAGUCCCACUUUUAACAUUGCAGAUUUGAAGCCUUAUUUGGGUGAGGAAGAUGAACUUCCGUCGAGGACGACUUCAUUUCAAGAAGGGGAGGAUGAUGAGGACAUCAAUACAAUUGUUACACCCACAGCCCCUGCUGCUAUACAUACUGGACCAAUUACUAGAGCUCGUGCACGCCAACUAAAUUACCAGGAAACAGACCCUCGUGGUCAGGUUGAUCGUGCUCCGGCGUGGUCAAUAACCUCUCGGAGUUGGUUUAGCGAUUGCUAA
rnacentral:rRNA from 1 species